rnacentral:rRNA from 1 species
UGCGUAGGCGGAAAAUUAAGUCAGUGGUGAAAUCCUGCAGCUCAACUGUAGAACUGUCAUUGAUACUGAUUUUCUUGAAUUUAGUUGAGGUAGGCGGAAUGUGUAAUGUAGCGGUGAAAUGCUUAGAUAUUACACAGAACACCGAUUGCGAAGGCAGCUUACUAAGCUAACAUUGACGCUGAGGCACGAAAGCGUGGGGAGCGAACAGGAUUAGAUACCCUGGUAGUC